CAGCUUCACCCUCCUCGCAUCCCUCCCUCUCUCUCUCUCUCUCUCUCUCUCUCUCAUACAUCUCUCGCUCUACAAUUUUUGGUGCAUCCUCUAGGAGCUGAAGCUGCCAGCAUGAUCUGACGAGUGUUUAGCUAGUUGACCACAGAAAUGAUGACUGCUAACGAUCAGAUCAUGCUUUGCAGUUUCAUCUGCUAAUGGGUGCACAGCAGAUACUUCGUCGGUGUGCAAGGGUAAUUCACAAAUUUCUCGCAACAGAUGAUUCUUUCGUGCUUUUCCGUAGUUUCUUGUAGUUUCAUGGUGUCGGCGGCAGAGCUCAUCGGAGCACCAAACAGACAAUUCGUGAAUUUCAGCUACUUUUCCUGCUUCACUUAUAUGAUUUGGAGGUUUUUGUAGUAGUCUUAUUGUGUCUUAGAUUGUUCUGAAGAAGCUAUACAUGAGAUCAUUAAUUGGAGUGGAACCUGUUCGUUCUUGGAGCCGGAUUUGUCUGUCUACUCUGAAUCUCUGAUGCAAGGAAGGAUGCUCAAUUGACAAGUGAAUUGAUUCAUGACGAAGAAGUAUUUCUUUUCGACAAAUCGUAUACUAUACUUUCCAAGACUUGCAAACAUACUUUGAGAUAUUAAGGAAUUUAUAACUUUGUAUAUAACUAGCACACACCUGCAAAUGUGAUUGUGUUUAUGCUAGUAGCUACCUGAAUCCAUGUACCUUUUUAUCCAUUCUUUAUCAUCAGUGACAUUACUACUUUAAUGCCACGUAUAUAAACCAGCCCAUUUCUGAAUUAAAUAGAGGAUCUAAAAAUUAAACAGCAAA